GUGCCUACGGGGGGCAGCAGUGGGGGAUAUUGCACAAUGGGGGAAACCCUGAUGCAGCGACGCCGCGUGUGGGAAGACGGUCUUCUGGAUUGUAAACCACUGUCCCCAGGGACGAAAAUGACGGUACCUGGGGAGGAAGCUCCGGCUAACUACGUGCCAGCAGCCGCGGUAAUACGUAUGGAGCAAGCGUUAUCCGGAUUUACUGGGUGUAAAGGGAGCGCAGACGGCAAGGCAAGUCUGAUGUGAAAGUCCGAGGCUCAACCUCGGGACUGCAUUGGAAACUGUCUGGCUAGAGUGCAGGAGAG
rnacentral:rRNA from 1 species